rnacentral:rRNA from 1 species
GACGAACGCUGGCGGCGUGCUUAACACAUGCAAGUCGAGCGGUAAGGCCCUUUCGGGGGUACACGAGCGGCGAACGGGUGAGUAACACGUGGGUGACCUGCCCUUAGCUCUGGGAUAAGCCUGGGAAACUGGGUCUAAUACCGGAUAUGACUCCAUAACGCAUGUUGUGGGGUGGAAAGCCUUGUGCGGCUAGGGAUGGGCCCGCGGCCUAUCAGCUUGUUGGUGGGGUGAUGGCCACCAAGGCGACGACGGGUAGCCGGCCUGAGAGGGCGACCGGCCACACUGGGACUGAGACACGGCCCAGACUCCUACGGGAGGCAGCAGUGGGGAAUCUUGCGCAAUGGGCGAAAGCCUGACGCA